rnacentral:lncRNA from 1 species
UGUGGGCUUUUCUUUCCUCAUCUCUAAAACAGGGAGUAGUUGAGAGACUGAGGAAUAAAGAUAUGGAAAUCCCAGUGUAAAGCCUGGUACCGGGGAUACUUUUAUCCUUGAGAUAGACCCUGCCUCCUGCCCUGCAGGCAGUGACCACAGCAGCAUGGCCAGCCUUCCAUGAUGCAGGCAUGUCUGUCUUCUCUCAGAGUGUGAAGAGUGCAAAGACCUUAUAGAAUCUGUGCUGGAGGAGGAGCUGCAGUUUCAGGAGAGGGAGCUGACCAAAUUGCCAAGGCCAGCAGCAAGGCUCCGGAUACAUGAUCCCUUAAUUCAGGCUCAGGCUGAAGAACUGACCCACUUACGACAGAAGAUACAAGAAGGGAGAGGUGUCUGCUACCUUUUCACCCAGCAUGUGAAGAACACAGUCAAGUCUUUUGAGGGCCUUCUCAGGAACACUGGCAUUGCCUACUACCAGAGACAGAGAUUCUGUGAGCAAAUGGUACAAGGAAGCCAGCUAACAGAGAUCCUUGUCAGAAAACUUGCCACAGAGUCUGCUCUCUAACCCGAGCUAGAGUGCAGUGACGCGAUCUUGGCUGACUGCAGUCUGUGCCUCCUGGGCUCAAGCAGUCAUCCCACCUCAGCCUCCCAAGUAGCUGGGACUACAGGUGUGUGCCACCACACCUGGCUAAUUUUCAUAUUUUUUGUAGAGACAGGGUUUCUCCAUGUUGCCCAGGCUGGUCUUGAACUACUGAGCUCAAGUGACCCAUCUGCUGUGGCCUCCCAAAGUUCUGGGAUUACAGAUAUGAGCCACUGUGCCUGGCCUGAGAGUUCUUAGUUUCAAUCAGUAAGAGAGGUAGAGUAUAGUGGAUUACUUCAUCUUGAUGAGCAUAAGAACUCACCUUCAUUUCUGGAAGAUAUUUUCACUGGAUGUAGGAUUCUAGUUGACAGUUUGUGUUUUUAAAAAGUGUUUGAAAAGUGAUAUUCCACUGUCUUCUGGCUUACAUUGUUUCCAACAAGAAGUCUUCCAUAAUUCUUAUUUUUGUUCCUCUGUACAUAAUAUGUCUUUUUCUCUGGCCGCUUUUGAGAUUUUCUGUUUAUCACUGGUUUGAAGCAGUUUGAUUAAGGUAAGACCAUGUAUAGUUUUAUCUUUU